UACGUAGGGCGCAAGCGUUGUCCGGAUUCACUGGGUGUAAAGGGUGCGCAGGCGGGAAAGUAAGUUAGAGGUGAAAUCUCACAGCUCAACUGUGAAACGGCCUUUGAUACUGCUUUUCUUGAGUUAGGGAGAGGUUGAUGGAAUUCCAGGUGUAGCGGUGAAAUGCGUAGAUAUCUGGAAGAACACCGGUGGCGAAGGCGGCGUCCUGGACCAACACUGACACUGAGGAGCGAAAGCCAGGGGAGCAAACGGG
rnacentral:rRNA from 1 species